CUUUGAUGUCCUUUGAUGUUCUGAAAUGUUCCAGAAUGUUCCAACACUAAGCAGUACUCGGUGGUUAUAGCUGUGAACAUUUUACAUGACUAUUUCUAACAAACUCAGAGACGUGAGGAGCCACGAGAGCAACAAGGAGCUGAGCCAAGCUGAUGGCUCAACCCAGUGGUUCUCAAUUAUUUUCUGUUAGGCCCCCCUUAGGAAGAAGAAAAUGUUGCAGGCCCCCCCGCCACGAUUACAAUUAGUAUCAUUUGUCCAAAACUUGUUAUAUGUACAGAGAAAAGGAAAAAAAGACAUAUAGAUCAACUUGCAACAAGGAAUAACUUUAUUAACAUUGUUUCUUAGUCUCUUACAGGAUAGUUUUUAGUUUUGCAGCACUUGCAUCAUCCAGCAUGACAGCCAGUAUCAGCUCCGCUGCGAUGGUGUGGGGUUUCUUGCACUGAGCAAUUUGUUUGUUUACAUCUCUUACCGCCGCCCACUAUUUGAGAAGGACUGGCUCAACCCAACAUGUGUUUACAGCUCAAGAGCACGUUCAGCUGCUGAGACGGACUGAUUCACCUCUAUGACUCAGACAACCAGGAGACUGCAGAGCUCAAAGCUGAAAAAAAUAAAAUAAAUUAAUAUACAACUGA